GUUCUUGUAGUUGAAUUACAACGGUGUUUCUUCAAGUCACUGGUCUCGGUUAAAAUCUGAGCAGGAACC
rnacentral:tRNA from 1 species